GCAGAUACGUGGGCUCGACGGCCAAGAGGGAUGAGGGUGUGUGGAGAAGGCGUAUGCUCCUUGCUUGGCUAACCCACUCUAAUGCAUAGUGUCCAGUUAUAGCACACAUUUAAACUUGAACCCUGUUUCUUCAGUAAAGAUCCAUUUCCCAUUUUUUGGAACGAAAUUGAGUCUUUUUGUUUUGCCUAAUAACUUUUACAUUGAUUACUGUUACUUGCUUCCAUGACAGAAGCUAUUCAUGCAUUAUUUGUUGCACAGACACUGAGGGCUGUGUAUGAGCCAGGCUCUGUGCUAAGUGAAAGGUAUAAAAGAGGUUAAUACUUAGAGCUGGCCCUGCCCAGAUAAAACAGAGGACCCGGUAGGAAACUGGGAACAAGGAUAUGAUAAACAAAUAUAUAAUUGCAAAGCAAAUGUGGCACAAAUGUUUACAUCGGUUAAAUCUGGGUGUUGGGAUAUGGGCUGCUAUUGUAUUAGCUUCUGAACUGUAUGAGCUUCUGAAUAUAUAUUUGAAAUAAAUCCUAAGUGAAAAAAAAAUGAAAAAAAAAGUUGGAAGUGUGGUGAUUUUUUGAGGAGCGAGUCUUUGGUAGAACAUGGAGUGUCACUCGGACUUGCUUUGGGCAGAGUAGUCCGGGAAGAGCAGAGCGCACCUCCUCCUCCUCGCUUGCCUGUGUGGGAGGGAUGAGGACCCUUCGGAUGGGGUUCAGAGAAGAGUCACGAAGAUGGCUGAUGGCACGGUUGAAAGUAAGACCUCUGAGAACAGUCCCGAAGAACCGGGGAUGCUGAGCAGGGGGUGAAGUCUACCUGAUGCAGCAACUUAGGCUAUCUUUUCCGUACAUUUAUAGGGACUCUUACACCGCCACGUUCUGCUCAGUCAUGUCCCAUACUGAACAGCAGGCAAGGUGGGUUAUUCAGCUUAGAAAUAUGUGUGAGAGGAAAAGUGAAAUUUUGUUCUUCAACCAAGGAAAAAUUGGCAGGGACCUGAGAGACAAACUAGCUCGGCCUUCCUGUGAAGACAUAGCUCUCUCACGUUCUUAACAAGUGGUCAGCACGUUACUUUCUGUGCUUCCUCUAACUCAGGAUGGGGCGGUGGGGAGGGGGCAUUCACUCUGGUUUACUUCUGUUGAGCAGGUCUUCUUUCCAUCCCAUAUGUACACCCCAGACUCCUCUUUCCCUCGGUACGUUUGCCAGAAGAAGCGCUUCCCACCUGGAAUGCCUGCCAAUUUGACUUACUCUUCCAGGUCCCGUAUCUCCAUUGCCUUUCUCUACACAACCUGCAAAUAGUAGUUUUCCCAUCUUAUCUUCCUGAAGAGUGUGGCAUUCCUAGAAGUGUCCGUAGUUUCCUCCUUCAGUGCAAGGGUGGGCAGAGUCAGUGUCAUAAUCUAGGUGGGGGUUAGAGGGAAGUGUCUGGUUUGACAUCUUCCCCUCCAGAUGCUGGUAUGCCACCCUCUUGAGAAUCACUAUUUUAUAGCAGCUAAUAUUUUCAUCUUCUUAGCUUUAUUUAUUGUUAUUGCUUAAACGUUUGUUUAUUUUCAUUUAUUUUAAGUAGGCUCCACACCCAGGGUGGAGGCCAGCAUGGGGCUUGAACUCAUGACCCAUGAGAUCAAGAGUCAGAUGCUCAACCAGUGGAGCCACCUAGGCGCCUCUCAUCUUUGCUGUAGAUGGUGUACUAGUUAUUUUGUUUCCUAUUGCCUUUUUUGCCAACGAGGUUUUAAGCACUCUAAGCAUAUGGAAACUUGGCCGGCAUCUCUGUAAUGCCCAGUAUUGAUCAUGGAGUGAAUAUGCAGUCAUCAAUGCCUAAUGGCCAAAGGACCACCUGUUUCUUUCUCAAGACCGUUACGGAAGGCUGUUACUUAUAUAAAUCUGAUAUUAAGUUGGCGCAGAUACUAAAUAAUUAACAUUUUGUAGUUUUAAGAUGGCAGAAAGCCAAGUGUUGGGGGUCUAAUUCAUUCAGAUGUCAUCUUAGAAACCUCCUUUAUAAGACUUCUAACCUUCGCCAUUCAAAGUGUAAUCUACAGGUGAUGCUGACGCUAUCACCUGGAAGCUUCUUAAAAUGGAGACUCUGAGGCCCCACAUCAGACCUACUGAAUCAGAAUCUGCAUUGUUAACAGGAUCCCCAGCUGUGCUGUAUUAUGCACAGGAAAGUUUGGGAAACAACGUUUUAACCUCCCAGAAUUCAGAUAUUUAGGAGGAGCAUUUAUUGUCAAAGUGAAGUAAGUCUGGAAAGGAAGAUUCCUUGGUCUGUGGAUGAGCUCCCCAGUGCUCUCUGCAGGGUGGCCUGAUACUAUCCUGCGUCAUGCCGGAGCUUCCAGGCCAGAAGAUGCCUCUGGAGGAGAGUCCUGGACUCCUUUAAGUGGGUGAUACUCACGUGUCAGACGUGAAGGUGAUUACAGGAAUUUGAAGCAGUUGCUGGAGUGAGAAGCCAGGAGAGCUUGGCAGAGGCAGAAAAACAUGGCCUACAACCUAAAACGGAAAAUAAUGGAAGAUGUCUUACCUUUAUAAUAGGAAACCACUUCCGACGCUGUGGGCUUGGAUUCAUCCGAAACUCUGAUGCCUCCAGAGCCAGCACGUCACAAAUAAAACCAGCUGGAUGUGCUGUGCGUGGAGACCUUGUGGUGAUGAGGGUCAUGGGGGCAUCCGUCCUCCGAGGGGAAGGUGGGGUUGCGCUAGGCUCGCUCAGUUGUUGUCACGUGGGAAUUUGAGUCCAGUAUGGCCGCAUCUUCACAUUUUUCAAAUGAAGCUAAAAAUGUAAGUUUGUAUGUAAAACAUCUCUUGAGUGGUAAUUAAAAUGUUUUGAGAACAGCACAGGCCAAACAAAAUUUAUAUGCUGCCUGCAUCUGUUUUACGACUCUUGUUCUGGAGCAACAGAACCUGUGAGACGGUAUCCAUGCCAGGCCUGUGCAGUGCGGGGCACCGAACACAGGCAGAGGUGAUUUGGCCUUGAUAGAGACCAUUUUGGAUCUUUAUUAAGUUAAAAAAAAAAAAAAAAAAAAAAA
rnacentral:lncRNA from 1 species